GGUGAGGUGGCAGAGCGGUUGAACGCACCGGUCUUGAAAACCGGUAAGGGGCGUAAGCCUCUUCAAGGGUUCGAAUCCCUUCCUCACCG
rnacentral:tRNA from 1 species